UUUUCUUCUUUUUCAUUUCCAGUAUAACACUUCUCUUCACUCUCUCAAACUCUCCCGGUAGUACCUCAAUACCACCAUUUCCACCAUCAUUUUCCGGUAAGAUUACCGGAAAAUUCUUGAGAACCCAUAAGCACCUUCACAUCCUUUUUUUGAGGUUCUAGCUAAUCUCCUUGAAGCUUGGAGAAUUAGGAUUUUAUGGUUGCGAGGUAAGUAGCUUUUUAAUGAGAUUUUUGAAAAAUAAACAUGUUGCAUAAAUGAUGUUUUUGGGUUAGACACACUUUUGGAAACUACCUAUGAAAAUUAUAAUUUCCUAAAACUAUUGUGUCAUAACCUUAAUAUAUGUAUGAUUAUAUUUGAAAUGCAUCAUAUUUGGUAUUGCAUUUGGGGAAAUGCAUGAAUUGUUGAUAUGGAAAAAUGAGCAUCUUUUAUUUAAUUUUUGAUAAGGAAAUCUUGGAUUUUAUGGUAUAUUAAAAAAUUUAAAGAUGCUUAUUUUGUCUUGUUAUGUGGGAAAUUGUUAGAAAAUCUUUUGAUAAUAAUGAAAUUGAAAACCUUACAAACUUUAUGGAAGUUAGAUUAUUUAAAAUUUUUCUGAAACUACCUAGUUAUAAACUAUGUAUUUGAAAGAAAAUGUAUAAUUGUGAGCUUUAUGGGGUUUCAACACCAUGCCAUAUGUGAUUUCCUGAUGAUCACCCGAUUUGGUUUUCGUAGUCUUUGUGACAACGGAAUCAAAUCUAGAUCAGUACCCUUUUACUUUGGAUGACACGUUCUUCCCUACUGCCCAUGGAGAGGAAGAGGUUCAUUGAUUGUGUGUGGGUGAGGCUAUUGUCCAUGGGGUUAAAAGUCUACAUACCAGAGAAGAAAAUAUCAUGUCAGUUGUGAAUGGGUGGAUCCCUUGACCGGUCUAUGUGGUAAUGUGGUAUAUUUGUGAUAAUUUAUCUUAUGUUAGAUAUUAUGGCUUUGAAAAUUUAUAUUGUUGAUGCUCACAGAUUAUAGUAUAUAGCCAUAUUAUUAUUAUUGAAAAUGAAACUUACAUUUCCGCCACCUCCAUUAAUAAUGCUACUUACUGGGCGUUAGCUCAUCCCAUCCUUUAACAGUUUUCAGAUUUACUAGCUAUACCUUGAGUAUGGAGCUUACUUCUUUGGUGAUGAUUAGAGUGCUAUGUUAAAUUUGGAGACUUUUGCUAUAAAUGGUUGGUGGCUCGAUGUUGCUAUGUUCAAUGAGACCUUCAUUAAUUCUAUUGGAGGUGGGCCGCUUGAGGUUUGUUAGCCUUUGGCGUGGUAGGCCUAGACUUGAUGUUAACGUCCAUAAUCUUGAUAAAAUUGUGACUUUGUGUAAUUUAAUGAGUUUUGUAAUAUAUUCAUGUAUUAUGUGGAGGUACAUGAUUUUUAGUUAUUGUUUGUAAAUAUGUUAUAGAGCUCUGACUUGUAAUGUGGAGAUUUUAGUAUGAUUAUAUAUUCUUAUCCUGUGGAAAAGAAAGGAAAAUAAAGAUCUCCUAUAA